rnacentral:tRNA from 1 species
GGGGUAGUAGCUCAGUGGGAGAGCACUUGCCUAGCAUGUAUGAGGCACUGGGUUUGAUUCUCAGCACCACA